UUUAAAGGCUCGUAGUCGAACUUCGGGCUUGCCCCGGCGGUCCGCCUCUGGUGUGCACUGCCGUGGGUUUGCCUUUCUGUCGAGGACGGGCUCCUGGGCUUCACUGUCUGGGACCCGGGCUCGGCGAGGUUACUUUGAGUAAAUUAGAGUGUUCAAAGCAGGCGAUCGCCCUGAAUACAUUAGCAUGGAAUAGCACGAUAGGACUCUGGCCUAUCUUGCUGGUCUGUAGGACCGGAGUAAUGAUUAAGAGGGACAGUCGGGGGCAUUCGUAUUUCCGGGUCAGAGGUGAAAUUCUUGGAUUCCGGAAAGACGUACCACUGCGAAAGCAUUUGCCAAGGAUGUUUUCAUUGAUCAAGAACGAAAGUCGGGGGCUCGAAGACGAUUAGAUACCGUCGUAGUCUCGACCAUAAACGAUGCCGACCAGGGAUCGGCGGGCGUUCUUUUGAUGACCCCGCCGGCACCUUGAGAGAAAUCAGAGUCUUUGGGUUCCGGGGGGAGUAUGGUCGCAAGGCUGAAACUUAAAGGAAUUGACGGAAGGGCACCACCAGGCGUGGAGCUUGCGGCUUAAUUUGACUCAACACGGGAAAUCUUACCAGGUCCAGACGCGGGAAUGAUGAACAGAUUGAGAGCUCUUUUUUGAUUCUGUGGGUGGUGGUGCAUGGCCGUUCUUAGUUGGUGGGUUGCCUU
rnacentral:rRNA from 1 species